rnacentral:rRNA from 1 species
UGACAUUAGCUAGAUGGUAAGGUAACGGCUUACCAUGGCUACGAUGUCUAGGGGUUCUGAGAGGAAGAUCCCCCACACUGGAACUGAGACACGGUCCAGACUCCUACGGGAGGAAGUUUGAUCCUGGCUCAGAAUGAACGCUAGCGGCAGGCCUAACACAUGCAAGUCGAGGGGUAGCAGGAUAAAGCUUGCUUUAUUGCUGACGACCGGCGCACGGGUGCGUAACGCGUAUGCAAUCUACCUUGUACAGGGGAAUAGCCCAGAGAAAUUUGGAUUAAUGCCCCAUAGUAUAUAACCUUCGCAUGUUGGUUAUAUUAAAGUUCCAACGGUACAAGAUGAGCAUGCGUCCCAUUAGUUAGUUGGUAAGGUAACGGCUUACCAAGACGAUGAUGGGUAGGGGUCCUGAGAGGGAGAUCCCCCACACUGGUACUGAGACACGGACCAGACUCCUACGGGAGGCAGCAGUGAGGAAUAUUGGUCAAUGGUCGCAAGACUGAACCAGCCAUGCCGCGUGCAGGAAGACGGUCCUAUGGAUUGUAAACUGCUUUUAUACAGGAAGAAACCCUCCCACGUGUGGGAGCUUGACGGUACUGUAGGAAUAAGCACCGGCUAACUACGUGCCAGCAGCAUCUAAGUCUGGAGUGAAAGUUUGAGGCUCAACCUCGAAAGUGCUUUGGAUACUGGGUGUCUAGAAUUAGAUAGAGGUAGCUGGAAUUUGUGGUGUAGCGGUGAAAUGCAUAGAUACCACGAGGAACACCAAUUGCGAAGGCAGGCUACUGGGUCUAUAUUGACACUGAUGUACGAAAGUGUGGGUAGCGAACAGGAUUAGAUACCCUGGUAGUCCAAUC